CGGAGGUACUCGAGUGGCGAACGGGUGAGUAACACGUGGGCAAUCUGCCCUGCACUUCGGGAUAAGCCUGGGAAACUGGGUCUAAUAUNUANNCCGGAUAGGACCUCAAGACGCAUGUCUUGUGGUGGAAAGCUUUUGCGGUGUGGGAUGGGCCCGCGGCCUAUCAGCUUGUUGGUGGGGUGACGGCCUACCAAGGCGACGACGGGUAGCCGGCCUGAGAGGGUGUCCGGCCACACCUGGGACUGAGAUACGGCCCAGACUCCUACGGGAGGCAGCAGUGGGGAAUAUUGCACAAUGGGCGCAAGCCUGAUGCAGCGACGCCGCGUGGGGGAUGACGGCCUUCGGGUUGUAAACCUCUUUCACCAUCGACGAAGGUCCGGGUUUUCUCGGAUUGACGGUAGGUGGAGAAGAAGCACCGGCCAACUACGUGCCAGCAGCCGCGGUAAUACGUAGGGUGCGAGCGUUGUCCGGAAUUACUGGGCGUAAAGAGCUCGUAGGUGGUUUGUCGCGUUGUUCGUGAAAUCUCACGGCUUAACUGUGAGCGUGCGGGCGAUACGGGCAGACUAGAGUACUGCAGGGGAGACUGGAAUUCCUGGUGUAGCGGUGGAAUGCGCAGAUAUCAGGAGGAACACCGGUGGCGAAGGCGGGUCUCUGGGCAGUAACUGACGCUGAGGAGCGAAAGCGUGGGGAGCGAACAGGAUUAGAUACCCUGGUAGUCCACGCCGUAAACGGUGGGUACUAGGUGUGGGUUUCCUUCCUUGGGAUCCGUGCCGUAGCUAACGCAUUAAGUACCCCGCCUGGGGAGUACGGCCGCAAGGCUAAAACUCAAAGGAAUUGACGGGGGCCCGCACAAGCGGCGGAGCAUGUGGAUUAAUUCGAUGCAACGCGAAGAACCUUACCUGGGUUUGACAUGCACAGGACGCGUCUAGAGAUAGGCGUUCCCUUGUGGCCUGUGUGCAGGUGGUGCAUGGCUGUCGUCAGCUCGUGUCGUGAGAUGUUGGGUUAAGUCCCGCAACGAGCGCAACCCUUGUCUCAUGUUGCCAGCGGGUAAUGCCGGGGACUCGUGAGAGACUGCCGGGGUCAACUCGGAGGAAGGUGGGGAUGACGUCAAGUCAUCAUGCCCCUUAUGUCCAGGGCUUCACACAUGCUACAAUGGCCGGUACAAAGGGCUGCGAUGCCGUAAGGUUAAGCGAAUCCUUUUAAAGCCGGUCUCAGUUCGGAUUGGGGUCUGCAACUCGACCCCGUGAAGUCGGAGUCGCUAGUAAUCGCAGAUCAGCAACGCUGCGGUGAAUACGUUCCCGGGCCUUGUACACACCGCCCGUCACGUCAUGAAAGUCGGUAACACCCGAAGCCA
rnacentral:rRNA from 1 species